rnacentral:tRNA from 1 species
UCCCUGGAGGACUAGUGGUUAGGCCACAGCACUCUGAAUGCUGCGGCCCAGGUUCGAUUCGCGGCCAGGGAA